rnacentral:rRNA from 1 species
UCAGGCCUAACACAUGCAAGUCGAACGGCAGCACGGGUGCUUGCACCUGGUGGCGAGUGGCGAACGGGUGAGUAAUACAUCGGAACGUACCUUAUCGUGGGGGAUAACGCAGCGAAAGCUGUGCUAAUACCGCAUACGCCCUGAGGGGGAAAGCGGGGGAUCGCAAGACCUCGCGCGAUUAGAGCGGCCGAUGCCUGAUUAGCUAGUUGGUGGGGUAAAAGCCCACCAAGGCGACGAUCAGUAGCUGGUCUGAGAGGACGAUCAGCCACACUGGGACUGAGACACGGCCCAGACUCCUACGGGAGGCAGCAGUGGGGAAUUUUGGACAAUGGGGGCAACCCUGAUCCAGCAAUGCCGCGUGAGUGAAGAAGGCCUUCGGGUUGUAAAGCACUGUUGUCAGGGAAGAAACACCGGCUCUAACACAGUCCGGGAAUGAC